CUUAAGUGAAAGUAAUCUAAAUAUAUAAACCCCUAAACACACUCAGAAAUGUUAAAGUUGAAUCCAAAAAGUUUUUUUGUUGAUUCAAUGGCACGGCGAGGGUAAAUAAAGUUGAUUAUCCUCUUGCUCAGUGAAGGUUCUCUGCGUACACCAGCUCAGUGAUCCAGGUCCGUGAUACAGAGAUGUACUUUGUACUCAGUUUGAUUCCAAAUGAAUUGCAACAUUAUUCAUCGGAGCAGCAGUUUUAUUCAUCGGCAAACGCCACAAUAAAAAGAAGCUCAGCGACAGUUCCAGGACAGAAUAUGAGGUCAUUUCCACAGCAAGGGCUUAAAAAACACUGAACAAUAAUAUUUCCAGCAUAUUUAGAGUAAAUAUGAGCCAACCUGGGAAAAGUGUUGUAGCAAUGGGCGUGUCGAACAAAUGGUAACGCGGGACAACGUUGUGCGUUGGAGCCGUAUUGUGUUGACCUGUUGGAAACACGAAGGAAGCCAGACGCUGGAGGAGAAACAGACUUGCAGGUCAACAGCAAAGGUCAGGGGAGCGACGGAGAGCUGAUGGAUGAGGUUGAUUGACUUCUGUAAAAGUGCACCUCAGCUCAUCGAUGAGAAAAGAGAUGAGAGAGGGAGGGAGAAAGUGAGAGUGUGUGAGAGACAGAGACAGAGAGAUUGAGGGAAGGAGAAAGAGAGAAAGAGAGAGAGAGGGAGGAAGGGGGAGUGAAGUGAGGGAAUAUGAUCCUCUCUUCUCAGAGAUUAGUGUCAUUGAGGUGAGCGGGUUUAUCUUUUAUAAGUCUCAGAACCGGCUGGACAGAUGAGCAACUGGGGCAGAGAGAGAGAGAGAAAGAAAGAGAGAGAGAGAGAGUCUAUCUUUAUAAACCAUGUGCGAUAUAUACACAUUUCAAUCUGUUUGUAUGGAAAUUGGAUACGACAAUCUCACAUCUCUUGGAUCUUUGACCAUUUCAUCGUUCGACUGGAUGAUUGCAGAUGUCGUUUUUACUGGAGUUGUCAUAACUAUUCUCUCUCAGGGUGUAAUUCCACACACGAGGCCAGCUGGAUGUUUUCCUGAAGACAGAAAAAAAAGAGAAAAGGCCAUGAGACCAGUGCUGACGCCAGCGACUUGCACCAUUCGAGCAUCCCCGGUCCAGAAACCAACACACAUCUCCCUGAGUUAGUUUGUCUCCACCUGUUUCAAGUCCAAAAUACAUCAAACGAAACUCCGGCAGACUCAUAAUCAAGUUGGACUUUUCAUUCGUCUUCAUAAACACCUGAUUUGUUUUCCAAGUUUAUAAACCACAUUAUGGAGGGAUGCUGCUUAAAGUAUUGUACAUACAGUAAAAUCUCUAUAUGGUUGGAUUUGGGCCUAAUUGAUUGGUAUUUCAUGUAUGCUACAUGCACUUACAGAGACAAUAUUUCUAUGUCAAAAUCAAUUCUUUUUUUGUAUGCAUUAAAUAAAAGCUUUAAAAAAUG